rnacentral:tRNA from 1 species
ACUCUUUUAGUAUAAAAAAUAUAUUUGAUUUCCAAUCAAAAGAUCUUAAUUAAAGAAAGAGUA